GAUGAACGCUGGCGGCGUGCCUAAUACAUGCAAGUCGAGCGAACAGACGAGGAGCUUGCUCCUCUGACGUUAGCGGCGGACGGGUGAGUAACACGUGGAUAACCUACCUAUAAGACUGGGAUAACUUCGGGAAACCGGAGCUAAUACCGGAUAAUAUAUUGAACCGCAUGGUUCAAUAGUGAAAGACGGUUUUGCUGUCACUUAUAGAUGGAUCCGCGCCGCAUUAGCUAGUUGGUAAGGUAACGGCUUACCAAGGCGACGAUGCGUAGCCGACCUGAGAGGGUGAUCGGCCACACUGGAACUGAGACACGGUCCAGACUCCUACGGGAGGCAGCAGUAGGGAAUCUUCCGCAAUGGGCGAAAGCCUGACGGAGCAACGCCGCGUGAGUGAUGAAGGUCUUCGGAUCGUAAAACUCUGUUAUUAGGGAAGAACAAAUGUGUAAGUAACUAUGCACGUCAUGACGGUACCUAAUCAGAAAGCCACGGCUAACUACGUG
rnacentral:rRNA from 1 species